AUACGUAGGUGGCAAGCGUUAUCCGGAUUUACUGGGUGUAAAGGGCGCGUAGGCGGGGAUGCAAGUCAGAUGUGAAAUCUAUGGGCUCAACUCAUAAACUGCAUUUGAAACUGUGUCUCUUGAGUGCUGGAGAGGUAGACGGAAUUCCUUGUGUAGCGGUGAAAUGCGUAGAUAUAAGGAAGAACACCAGUGGCGAAGGCGGUCUACUGGACAGUAACUGACGCUGAGGCGCGAAAGCGUGGGGAGCAAACAGGAUUAGAUUCCCUGGUAGUCCACGCUGUAAACGAUGAAUACUAGGUGUGGGGGGACUGACCCCCUCCGUGCCGCAGUUAACACAAUAAGUAUUCCACCUGGGGAGUACGGCCGCAAGGUUGAAACUCAAAUGAAUUGACGGGG
rnacentral:rRNA from 1 species